rnacentral:lncRNA from 10 species
GCUCUUUCUUAAAGGCUGUAUCUAACAUAUGGAUGUAUUAUUCAUAUACUUAAGCUACCAGGUUUUUUGCUAUUACAAAUAAUGCUAUAAUGAAUAUCCUCAUUCAUUUUGGGGGCAUCCUUUGAUGAUAUACCUAUAAAUUAAAUUUCUAAUAAUGGAACACGCCCUUAAAACUUUGAUAAGGUCACUUUGCCUUCCAAAUGGUUGUGCCAAUCUGUAGUCCAGCUUACAAGGUGAUGGAAUCAGGAUAACCACAGCAGCCCCACGAACACUUUCCUGGUUAUUCUAUCCCAGGAAAUAAACAUCCUCCUGUGAAAUAGUAUUUACCAAUUAGAAGCAGCAAUCAGAAAAGGAAGAGCAGCCUGAAGUGGCAGAUGAUAAAAAUCAAACAAUAAAUAACAAUUUGAGUAAUCUA